rnacentral:rRNA from 1 species
AUUGAACGCUGGCGGAAUGCUUUACACAUGCAAGUCGAACGGCAGCACGGACUUCGGUCUGGUGGCGAGUGGCGAACGGGUGAGUAAUGUAUCGGAGCGUGCCCAGUCGUGGGGGAUAACGUAGUGAAAAUUACGCUAAUACCGCAUACGAUCUAUGGAUGAAAGCGGGGGGUCGCAAAACCUCGCGCGAUUGUAGCGGCCGAUAUCAGAUUAGGUAGUUGGUGGGGUAAAGGCCCACCAAGCCAACGAUCUGUAGCUGGUCUGAGAGGACGACCAGCCACACUGGAACUGAGACACGGUCCAGACUCCUACGGGAGGCAGCAGUGGGGAAUUUUGGACAAUGGGCGAAAGCCUGAUCCAGCCAUUCCGCGUGCAGGAUGAAGGCCCUCGGGUUGUAAACUGCUUUUGUACAGAACGAAAAGGUUUCUACUAAUACUAGGAGCUCAUGACGGUACUGUAAGAAUAAGCACCGGCUAACUACGUGCCAGCCGCCGCAGUAA